rnacentral:misc_RNA from 1 species
UCCGGCUUAUCACCGGCAGUUUCCUUAGAGUGCCCAACUGAAUGAUGGCAACUAAGGACGAGGGUUGCGCUCGUUGCGGGACUUAACCCAACAUCUCACGACACGAGCUGACGACAGCCAUGCAGCACCUGUGCACGGUCCAGCCGAGCUGAAGGCUCCCUUUUCUGAGAGCCGCGACCGGCAUGUCAAGGCCUGGUAAGGUUCUUCGCGUUGCCUCGAAUUAAACCACAUGCUCCACCGCUUGUGCGGGUCCCCGUCAAUUCCUUUGAGUUUUAACCUUGCGGCCGUACUCCCCAGGCGGAGUGCUUAACGCGUUAGCUGCGACACCAAGGAUGACUCCCUGACGUCUAGCACUCAUCGUUUACGGCGUGGACUAC